AUCUUUCUAGUACAGUGAUAGUACAAGUGACUUCCAAUUACUGGGCCUUGGUUUAACUCCAAGGAAAGAUA
rnacentral:tRNA from 1 species